AUAAUUGUUAGAGCAAGAAGACCUCUCUUUGUUGCAAGUUUAUAAUCAUAGCUAAGUGAGAAGUUAAGGAGAAAAGAUCUUGCGAAGCCAAAGACUUAAGUUUGAAGUAGCGUAGAAAGCGGGCAAGGUACAGACGUUCGAGUGAGUGACCCGACAGUUUAGGCCAUCUGUUCUGCUGCUUUGGAGUGCUCCCUUGUUCUGGAGCCCAUAUUUUG